AUGUUAGACAGACACCAUGAAAGCCUAAUACAGAGCCCUAUCACUCCCAGGGCAAAGGAGACAAAUGAUUUAUUAUUUGCUUCAUCUGUUCAGAAUUUGUACGAUGCAAACGAGAUGGAGGUGGGUAUCAUCGAUUUGGUGACAAGUGUGUCUGCGACUCGCAUGGUUGGAGUACGGGUGGAGCCUCCAGCAGAGCCAGAUGUCCGAGUUGUCAGUUCGACACCAGAAAGCGGUAUUGAGGCAAGGCAGAACACAGAAGAUUGCACUGUUGUAGCCUUAGGGCGUGACACUGGAGAUGCGCAAGCAGGCAACUGCGCCAUGGAAACUAUCGAGGCAGAAAUAGAUGAGCUGAUGAGGGCAACGCUAAGCAAUGCUGAUAUGGUGCCAGAUUGUCUCAAGUUCCAGGCUGAGAUCAACGGUGUGCUGUGCGUGAGCUCUACUCCAGAACAGCCAGUAAUUCGGGUUGUGCCUCCAGCAAGGCAACGACAGAAAAGAUGUGUGCACCGUGGGAGCAACAAGUGUCGCAAUAGGAAACGGAAAACACCUUCCGGGAGUGGGUUAUCUUCAUCAGAUAGCUCUGACAAUGAUGCGGGUGCGAUGCAAGACGACCAACAAGGAGGAGCCGCAGAGCAGAGCAUUCCCCCAGAUGGAUUACACGGUGAGGUACAUAUGCGUCCCAAUGAUACAGCCAGGGGCGUAGGCUAUGGAGUUGGGGUCAUCACUCGUCAAGAAACAGGGACUAUGUGUUCCCUGGAAUAA
rnacentral:rRNA from 1 species